AAAGUGGAGCAAUCCAUGAGUACAGUGGCGUACGGGUGAGUAACACGUGGGUGAUCUACCUCUUAGUGGGGAAUAACCCUGGGAAACCGGGGCUAAUACCGCAUAAGCUCGAGAGAGGAAAGCAGCAAUGCGCUGAGAGAGGAGCCCGCGGCCGAUUAGCUAGUUGGUAGGGUAAGAGCCUACCAAGGCUGAGAUCGGUAGCCGGCCUGAGAGGGCACACGGCCACACUGGCACUGAAACACGGGCCAGACUCCUACGGGAGGCAGCAGUGGGGAAUCUUGCACAAUGGGGGAAACCCUGAUGCAGCGACGCCGCGUGAGCGAUGAAGCCCUUCGGGGUGUAAAGCUCUUUCGGCAGGGAAGAUUAUGACGGUACCUGCAGAAGCAGCUGCGGCUAACUACGUGCCAGCAGCCGCGGUAAUACGUAGGCAGCGAGCGUUGUUCGGAGUUACUGGGCGUAAAGGGUGUGUAGGCGGUUCUUUAAGUUUGGUGUGAAAUCUCCCGGCUCAACCGGGAGGGUGCGCCGAAUACUGAGGGACUAGAGUGCGGGAGAGGAAAGUGGAAUUCCUGGUGUAGCGGUGAAAUGCGUAGAUAUCAGGAGGAACACCGGUGGUGUAGACGGCUUUCUGGACCGUAACUGACGCUGAGACACGAAAGCGUGGGUAGCAAACAGGAUUAGAUACCCUGGUAGUCCACGCCCUAAACGAUGCANAUUUGGUGUGGGUCAUUCAGUUGAUCCGUGCCGGAGCUAACGCGUUAAAUAUGCCGCCUGGGGAGUACAGUCGCAAGGCUGAAACUC
rnacentral:rRNA from 1 species